rnacentral:lncRNA from 1 species
AAGGGACUCUUUAUUACAUUUUAAAAAUUCAGAGGGAAAUAUUGAUCAAAAAAUUAUCUAGCAGCAUGAUACAUAAGGAAGAAUAUGGAUUUAAAGUCAUACUGAACUAAAUAUAGAUCUCACCUUCACCACUCCUAGCUGUGUGGCCUCAGGCAAGUUACUUGACUUCUCUGAACCUCAGCUUUCUCAUCUGCAAAAUUGGGGUAGAAGUACCCCCCACCCAUUAGGGUUGCUGCAAGGCCUAACUCUGAUACCCUCUGUAAAUGCCCCUGGCUCGUACAAAGUACUGGAUAUAGAGAAAGUAACUGUGACUCCAAAGGUGAAAUGUCUUAUCCCAGGUGACACAGCCAGUAAGUGGUUCAGGUCGUGACCACAUGGAGGCCAAGAUAAUUCUUAACAAUGUUGUAAAUGCAUUGCCAGACACAAGAGAAGACUGAUGGGCAAAAAAAAGGGUUGCUGUGAAAACUACAGACCAUGUCUGGAAAGGAUAUUGCAUGAAAAACAACUAUGACAUGAUUUCUAAUAGGUGACUGGCAGAGUGAUUACCGCCUUAAUUUUGAGUGACAGCAAUUUAAAUCUGGUGUCUGAAGCCACUGCCUCCUUCAAAGGGUGUGGGGACAGAGCUGAAGACCAAGCAACACAGGUAGCACCUCUGAGGUUGGUGGGGACCCCAAGACCACCUACCCACAGGAAGUAGGACUCCCUCCUAACCAUGUGAGCUAAGCUAUAAAGACCAGCAUGGCGCCUGGGAUUACUAUGGAUUCAAAAAACUUUGCAAAAAUAUUUUGGAGGCUGGACUCAUCACCAGGUACCCAUCAUAAGGACAUUUUGAAAUAGUUGAAACUGUUCUAAAUAUUAGAAUAUUGAAGACAGCUACUGAGGGUAUAACACAUAUUGACCAACCUCUACCUCAGAAUGAUCCAAAGACUAAGCAAUCCACCACUGCUCCUCAGGACGACUGCAAACACCAGACGGAAGUGCAUCAUUUUGGCCACAGUGUCCCAGGUCGAAACACCACCUCUGACUCCAAACAGAGCCAUGAGUUUGUCCCUUGAGGCUCGGGCUAUGUGCACAAGUUUUCAGAAUGCCUUGUUUCUUGUCAAAAACUAAACUGAUGUUUUUCCUGGCAUGGCUUUUGGAAGGGAGCAUGAUUGCUGAUUAAAUAUGAAGUGGUUUGAAACCU